rnacentral:rRNA from 1 species
AGAACGAACGCUGGCGGCAUGCCUAAUACAUGCAAGUCGAACGAACUCUUCGGAGUUAGUGGCGCACGGGUGCGUAACGCGUGGGAAUCUGCCCCUUGGUUCGGAAUAACAGUUGGAAACGACUGCUAAUACCGGAUGAUGACGAAAGUCCAAAGAUUUAUCGCCAAGGGAUGAGCCCGCGUAGGAUUAGCUAGUUGGUGAGGUAAAGGCUCACCAAGGCAACGAUCCUUAGCUGGUCUGAGAGGAUGAUCAGCCACACUAGGACUGAGACACGGCCCAGACUCCUACGGGAGGCAGCAGUAGGGAAUAUUGGACAAUGGGCGAAAGCCUGAUCCAGCAAUGCCGCGUGAGUGAUGAAGGUCCUUAGGGUUGUAAA